rnacentral:rRNA from 1 species
UGGCUCAGGAUGAACGCUGGCGGCGUGCCUAAUACAUGCAAGUCGAGCGAACGGACGAGAAGCUUGCUUCUCUGAUGUUAGCGGCGGACGGGUGAGUAACACGUGGAUAACCUACCUAUAAGACUGGGAUAACUUCGGGAAACCGGAGCUAAUACCGGAUAAUAUUUUGAACCGCAUGGUUCAAAAGUGAAAGACGGUCUUGCUGUCACUUAUAGAUGGAUCCGCGCUGCAUUAGCUAGUUGGUAAGGUAACGGCUUACCAAGGCAACGAUGCAUAGCCGACCUGAGAGGGUGAUCGGCCACACUGGAACUGAGACACGGUCCAGACUCCUACGGGAGGCAGCAGUAGGGAAUCUUCCGCAAUGGGCGAAAGCCUGACGGAGCAACGCCGCGUGAGUGAUGAAGGUCUUCGGAUCGUAAAACUCUGUUAUUAGGGAAGAACAUAUGUGUAAGUAACUGUGCACAUCUUGACGGUACCUAAUCAGAAAGCCACGGCUAACUACGUGCCAGCAGCCGCGGUAAUACGUAGGUGGCAAGCGUUAUCCGGAAUUAUUGGGCGUAAAGCGCGCGUAGGCGGUUUUUUAAGUCUGAUGUGAAAGCCCACGGCUCAACCGUGGAGGGUCAUUGGAAACUGGAAAACUUGAGUGCAGAAGAGGAAAGUGGAAUUCCAUGUGUAGCGGUGAAAUGCGCAGAGAUAUGGAGGAACACCAGUGGCGAAGGCGACUUUCUGGUCUGUAACUGACGCUGAUGUGCGAAAGCGUGGGGAUCAAACAGGAUUAGAUACCCUGGUAGUCCACGCCGUAAACGAUGAGUGCUAAGUGUUAGGGGGUUUCCGCCCCUUAGUGCUGCAGCUAACGCAUUAAGCACUCCGCCUGGGGAGUACGACCGCAAGGUUGAAACUCAAAGGAAUUGACGG